rnacentral:tRNA from 1 species
GCGUCAGUGGCCGAGUGGUACGGCGCCCGCCUUCAUUCGGCCCCUUGGGGCCCCGUCAAAGCGGGAGACGCGCGUUCGAUUCGCGCCUGAUGCA